AGUGAACGCUGGCGGUAGGCCUAACACAUGCAAGUCGAACGGCAGCACAGUAAGAGCUUGCUCUUACGGGUGGCGAGUGGCGGACGGGUGAGGAAUACAUCGGAAUCUACUUUUUCGUGGGGGAUAACGUAGGGAAACUUACGCUAAUACCGCAUACGACCUACGGUUGAAAGCAGGGGAUCUUCGGGCCUUGCGCGAUUGAAUGAGCCGAUGUCGGAUUAGCUAGUUGGCGGGGUAAAGGCCCACCAAGGCGACGAUCCGUAGCUGGUCUGAGAGGAUGAUCAGCCACACUGGAACUGAGACACGGUCCAGACUCCUACGGGAGGCAGCAGUGGGGAAUAUUGGACAAUGGGCGCAAGCCUGAUCCAGCCAUACCGCGUGGGUGAAGAAGGCCUUCGGGUUGUAAAGCCCUUUUGUUGGGAAAGAAAAGCAGCAGGUUAAUACCCCGCUGUUCUGACGGUACCCAAAGAAUAAGCACCGGCUAACUUCGUG
rnacentral:rRNA from 1 species